rnacentral:rRNA from 1 species
UACGUAGGGUGCGAGCGUUGUCCGGAAUUACUGGGCGUAAAGAGCUCGUAGGUGGUUUGUCGCGUUGUUCGUGAAAACUCACAGCUCAACUGUGGGCGUGCGGGCGAUACGGGCAGACUGGAGUACUGCAGGGGAGACUGGAAUUCCUGGUGUAGCGGUGGAAUGCGCAGAUAUCAGGAGGAACACCGGUGGCGAAGGCGGGUCUCUGGGCAGUAACUGACGCUGAGGCGCGAAAGCUAGGGGAGCGAACAGG